UGAAGUGAUUUUAGUUACCAUGGCAG
rnacentral:piRNA from 1 species